GCCUGAGUGGCUCAGUCGGUUAAGCAUCUGAUUUCAGCUCAGGUCGUGAUCUCAUGGUUUGUGAGUUCAAGCCCCGUGUCAGGCU
rnacentral:tRNA from 1 species